GCUUGUGGCUCAGUGGUACAUCACUUGCCUGGCAUGUGUGAGGCCCUGGGUUCCAUCCUCAGCACCGCA
rnacentral:tRNA from 1 species